rnacentral:tRNA from 1 species
GCCAUAGUAGAGAAUUGGCAUAUCGACUUGACUCAAAAUCAAGGGUUUGUGGGUUCGAAUCCCACCUAUGGCA